rnacentral:lncRNA from 1 species
UUAGCUUUUUAGUGUAUAACCAGUUUGUAGGUCCUACUAUUUGAUCACCGGAUGCAACGGAUGGGUGCCGGAUGGCGUCUUUGGCGUUUCGUUGAGGUACGACCAAACUACACUGCAGUUCGGUCUAGCCAAAGUUAUGCAUGCUGUUUAUCUCUACUUUGCGUGUGAAUGUCCCUGAAACAUGGUUUUGUUUGACUCUAGGUUCAGGACAAUAAACAUGAUAACUCAAUCACUGUUAUCAGAACAAGGUAUGCACACUGAUGGCGAUGAACCCAGUGAUGGCGAGCGCGGGGGGCACGAGCACCAGGCUGAACAGCACGACAAGAGGCAUCACAGUGCGACACCGACGAGGCUAUCUACCAGGACGAGGCCGGAGAGGCCCGGCAGCAUGCUGCCAAUACUAUUGUAUGAAUAUGAUCAAGUGGUGUGUUGUGGGUGCAGUUUGCCUGUAUCCUUUUUUUUUAUUUGUCAGGUUUCUGUCUUCCUGGCUGGAUUGUGUCACUUCCAUUUAAUCAAAAGAGUUUUAGUUGUUCUCCGAAGACACAUCUCACUCACUGUAAUUAGGAACUAACUGUUGUUUGCCUCAAACAUAUACAUGAUCUAUUGACUCCUACCAAAAUUUCAGAACUACCCAUGCAGAAAAAAA